AUUGAACGCUGGCGGCAGGCCUAACACAUGCAAGUCGAACGGUAACAGGAAGAAGCUUGCUUCUUUGCUGACGAGUGGCGGACGGGUGAGUAAUGUCUGGGAAACUGCCUGAUGGAGGGGGAUAACUACUGGAAACGGUAGCUAAUACCGCAUAACGUCGCAAGACCAAAAAGGGGGACCUUCGGGCCUCUUGCCAUCGGAUGUGCCCAGAUGGGAUUAGCUAGUAGGUGGGGUAACGGCUCACCUAGGCGACGAUCCCUAGCUGGUCUGAGAGGAUGACCAGCCACACUGGAAGUGAGACACGGUCCAGACUCCUACGGGAGGCAGCAGUGGGGAAUAUUGCACAAUGGGCGCAAGCCUGAUGCAGCCAUGCCGCGUGUAUGAAGAAGGCCUUCGGGUUGUAAAGUACUUUCAGCGGGGAGGAAGGGAGUAAAGUUAAUACCUUUGCUCAUUGACGUUACCCGCAGAAGAAGCACCGGCUAACUCCGUG
rnacentral:rRNA from 1 species